GUAAACUCCUGUUGUUGAGGAAGAUAAUGACGGUACUCAACAAGGAAGUGACGGCUAACUACGUGCCAGCAGCCGCGGUAAAACGUAGGUCACAAGCGUUGUCCGGAAUUACUGGGUGUAAAGGGAGCGCAGGCGGGAGAACAAGUUGGAAGUGAAAUCCAUGGGCUCAACCCAUGAACUGCUUUCAAAACUGUUUUUCUUGAGUAGUGCGGAGGUAGGCGGAAUUCCCGGUGUAGCGGUGGAAUGCGUAGAUAUCGGGAGGAACACCAGUGGCGAAGGCGGCCUACUGGGCACCAACUGACGCUGAGGCUCGAAAGUGUGGGUAGCAAACAGGAUUAGAUACCCUGGUAGUCCACACCGUAAACGAUGAUUACUAGGUGUUGGAGGAUUGACCCCUUCAGUGCCGCAGUUAACACAAUAAGUAAUCCACCUGGGGAGUACGACCGCAAG
rnacentral:rRNA from 1 species